CGCUAGCGGCAGGCUUAACACAUGCAAGUCGAGGGCAGCGCGGGCGGCAACGUCCUGGCGGCGACCGGCGGAAGGGUGCGUAACGCGUGAGCGACAUGCCCGUUGCCCGGGGACAACCGGUGGAAACGCCGACUAAUACCGAAUGUGACAGCGAUCUCGCAUGAGGAUGCUGUGAAAGAUGGCCUCUAUUUAUAAGCUAUCGCUAGAGGAUGGGCCUGCGUCUGAUUAGCUAGUUGGUGAGGUAACGGCCCACCAAGGCGACGAUCAGUAGCCGGUCUGAGAGGAUGAACGGCCACACUGGAACUGAGACACGGUCCAGACUCCUACGGGAGGCAGCAGUGGGGAAUCUUCCGCAAUGGGCGAAAGCCUGACGGAGCAACGCCGCGUGAGUGAAGAAGGCCUUCGGGUCGUAAAGCUCUGUUGUCGGGGACGAAUGUAGUUACCAUCAACAACCGUAACUAAUGACGGUACCUGACGAGGAAGCCACGGCUAACUACGUG
rnacentral:rRNA from 1 species